rnacentral:tRNA from 2 species
UAGGGGGUGGUGUAGCGGAAGCACAAAGAGUUUUGAGCUCUUUAGCAGAGGUUCGAGACCUCUCCCUCUAA